AUGCAUAAACAAUGCCAUCAGCUGAGACGCCAGAGGUGCCUUGAUUCCUCCUCCCCACAAGCAGAUUGCAGAAUGGUGGCUGGUCAUUCUAUUGGUAGCGACAGGACUAGAAGCGAGUUGUCCUGUUGCUUAGCCUCAUGCUGUAAAUCAUCUACCCAGCCAAUAAGGUACUACAAAGAUCAAAACCAGCUUUUUUUUUUUCAUAUGUUGAAUAUAGAAAAUAUUAACUAGUCUAGAAGCUUAGUAGGUUCUUUUAUAGAGAUUCAAUUGCAAGAUUUAAGUUCAUGUCUUCCAGGGCCUUGGAGAAGGAUCCUGAAGAACUGAUGGGACUGGAGAUGAGUCAAGGAGGGAGAGAAAGAGAGUAGAGAGUCUUAUGGCUACACUGGAGUGGGGCUGGUGCACAGACCAGGUCCCUUACCAGCAGUCAAAUAUGGCUCCCAUGGAGUAUGAAAAACAUAGCACUUAGCAGUUGACUUAUAUUAUUGAGUCCAGAAGUUUCCUUAGUGAUUCUACACCUGUGAGCAUGAAGAUUUAACUAUUUCUAGAAACCAUUUCUAUUUACCUCUAAACCUGAACCUGGGUCUUAAGGGUCUUCUAGCUAUAUGUUAUUUGGAAAUAAAACAGUAUUUAAUUUUGAGGUGCCUGGGUGACUCGGUUAAGCAUCUGACUCUUGAUAUCAGCUCAGGUCUUGAUCUCAGGGUCAUGAGUUCAUGUCCCACAUUGGGCUCCACGCUGGAUGCUGAACCUACUUAAAAAAGCAAAACAAAACAAAACAACAGUAUUUAAUUUUAUCAAGCACACACAUAUACACAUAUAUAAAUCUGGCUUUCAAUAAUGUGCUUUUCUUUGUAGAUAAAGCUAAUACAACCUAUCCACAUUUUGAGUUAUUUUUUUAAUACAUUAUAUUCGGUG
rnacentral:lncRNA from 1 species